UUAACCUCGGAUCAGGUAGGGAUACCCGCUGAACUUAA
rnacentral:rRNA from 5 species